GACAGAGGGUGCAAACGUUGUUCGGAAUCACUGGGCGUAAGGCGUGCGUAGGCGGUCUUGUAAGUCGGAUGUGAAAGCCCUGGGCUCAACCUAGGAAGUGCACUCGAUACUGCGAGACUUGAGUACUGGAGAGGUUGGUGGAAUUCUCGGUGUAGAGGUGAAAUUCGUAGAUAUCGGGAAGAACAUCGGUGGCGAAGGCGGCCAACUGGACAGAUACUGACGCUGAGGCACGAAAGCGUGGGGAGCAAACAGGAUUAGAACUA
rnacentral:rRNA from 1 species